UGGCAUCGUUAAGAUGGCUAAAACUAUCGAAAUCUACUAAAUCCAAUUGCUGGAAUUCGGGGUGGGUGGAAAGCAAUUGUUUGAGGAAACUAAUUAUGGAGUGGUUUUCAAGGUGGUCGGUGUCAGUGGAGGGAUCGUUUGAGGGAGGGGGAGUGGGACUAGGCGGAUUGAGGGUUUUGGGAAGAAGACCGGCCAAGCGGUGGCGAUGGUGAUGGUGGGAUGAAAGUCGGGAGUAGGUCUGGCGGCGUGAGCCAGCGCUCUCAUUGAAGCUUGAGCGAUCAAUGGUGAAUGUUACAGAGUCGUCGCUGCGGCGGGGGUCAAAGGAGGAGGAAGAACAGAGAGAGAGGGCACGGAGCUCUGAUUGGGAGAGCUUUGUCAUGUCUAUGAAGGGGAGGAUGUCCAUAGCUAGGCCUGGUGGUUGCGCGGCCGUGGAAGUGGUCAUUUUGUUGGUGGCGAGUAGUUCUGAGGCCGAGGUGGGAUUUCCAAGCGUUCCCGAGGGGAGAGUGCGAUUGCCCGUUGAGGAAAGGAGAGACGGACG
rnacentral:misc_RNA from 1 species